CCCAUUUCUAGGCUGACUUUGGGAUGAUUAUCAACUUCGACAGAAUGGAUUUGGCUUUGUUAGAGAAUAUUGGCUUCAUCCCUCCAUCUGUAUUUAUCUGGCUCAACAGCCAAACAGUAUCACUAAGCCUUCAGAAUUUUAUCUUACUUAACAGCAAACAAGGCAUCAAAUCAUGAAGGCUUCAUUUGUAGCAGUUAACCUCUUGUUCCCCCACUCCUCGCAGAUCAAAUCUUCAACAGAGGAGCCGUCCUUGUAUUGCCAUCCUGUAUCUACUCGAUCCUCACCAACGCUGCUCUGUGUUUCUAGUCUUCUGAGCCUGGUUCAGAAAUAGAGAGAGAGUCUUCAAUCAAAUAUCUUCUUUGUAUUAUUGAAGUAUUGGGUGAAAAAUAGGAGGUACCCUUUUUAGUAGCAAGCCUAUGCUGCAGUUUAGAAAGAGCUAAACCAGUGAGCUGGUGUUGGAUCUCCGCAUCACUGUGGCCUUCUGGGAGAGGUGACUGCCAAUGUAUUGGAGGAGCUUAAUAUAUUCCAUCUUUGAUGUGUUAUGUUUUCUAGCUUGCUGCACAGAAAUGUUUGCUGUGAUUCAUAGUCAAGAGACCACAUGGAUGCUGAAGCAAUCUAUUGCUCUGAAGAUGUCAGUUCUAAGGAAGAAUCACUGGACUCAAAAUGUUAACUCUGCUUUCUCUCAGCAGAUGCUGCCAGUCCUGCUGAGUCUUUUCUUGUAAUUUCUGUUUUUGUUUCAGUCUACACACCUGGACAUCUUCCAGGCUAAGGGUCACAGGUGGAAAGUAACAUUCAUGCCACAUAGAUGCCAAGCAGUGAUCACCAGCUAUUGACCUUGAAAAAUGGUGCACUGAGAACAACCCAGCUCUCAGUGCUGGCAAAACUAAGGAACUCAUUCUUGAC